rnacentral:rRNA from 1 species
UGGGGAAUCUUGGACAAUGGGGGAAACCCUGACCCAGCAACGCCGCGUGAAGGAUGAAGUAUUUCGGUAUGUAAACUUCGAAAGAAUAGGAAGAAUAAAUGACGGUACUAUUUAUAAGGUCCGGCUAACUACGUGCCAGCAGCCGCGGUAAUACGUAGGGACCAAGCGUUGUUCGGAUUUACUGGGCGUAAAGGGCGCGUAGGCGGCAUGACAAGUCACUUGUGAAAUCUCUGGGCUUAACCCAGAACGGCCAAGUGAUACUGUCGCGCUAGAGUGCAGAAGGGGCAAUCGGAAUUCUUGGUGUAGCGGUGAAAUGCGUAGAUAUCAAGAGGAACACCUGAGGUGAAGGACGGG